UACAGAGGGUGCAAGCGUUAUUCGGAAUCACUGGGCGUAAAGCGCACGUAGGCGGAUUGCUAAGUCAGGGGUGAAAUCCUGGAGCUCAACUCCAGAACUGCCUUUGAUACUGGCGACCUUGAGUCCGGGAGAGGUGAGUGGAACUGCGAGUGUAGAGGUGAAAUUCGUAGAUAUUCGCAAGAACACCAGUGGCGAAGGCGGCUCACUGGCCCGGUACUGACGCUGAGGUGCGAAAGCGUGGGGAGCAAACAGG
rnacentral:rRNA from 1 species